rnacentral:lncRNA from 1 species
CUGAUUUUGCAGGAAAUUGGAUUGAAUGGAGCAUAAUUGGAUAAAAUAUUGAACUAGCAACGAACUAGACAAAGACAAAGGCCAACGGACUCAGAAAGAGCCUGGGCCGAUCCACUUAUAGAGGCCCAGGCCAAUCAGCCUAGGGUCCUCUAGCCCCUCCAUGUUCAUUUUUGCAAGCACUCCUCCGAGAUGACUUAAGGGUUACGUUUGUAAAGAUAUGGCAAGAUGAUUUC